rnacentral:piRNA from 1 species
UGAACUAGGGCCCACAGGGUGAUGUGUCUGG